rnacentral:rRNA from 1 species
UACGAGGGGGGCAAGCGUUGUUCGGAAUUAUUGGGCGUAAAGGGUGCGUAGGCGGUUUUGUAAGUCUUGUGUGAAAUCUUCAGGCUCAACUUGAAGACUGCACGAGAAACUGCAGGGCUUGAGUGUGGGAGAGGUGAGUGGAAUUCCUGGUGUAGCGGUGAAAUGCGUAGAUAUCGGGAAGAACACCCGUGGCGAAGGCGGUUCUCUGGGACGGUACUGACGCUGAGACGCGAAAGCGUGGGGAGCGAACAGG